AAAAAUAUAAGUUUUAUUUAGUUGAGUUAUAAUAUUGGGAUUAUAUCAAACGAAAGCGUCCGCCUCCCUGUUGACCACUUAACCUGACACACCAUGGCACACUAUACGGCAUCCCGAAAAAGUAAUUUUUUACUUCAGUGUUUCAGUCCCAAUUGAAAGCAAAAUAUUUCAGAUGCACCUCAGCAACAAAGAGUUUUCAGUUUGCUCGUUGCUGCAAAACGUCACAUAAUUUGACGUCAAAUUUAGAUAAACAAUGGUAAAAAAGAAAAGCAGCCAAGAGUCUAGUAGCGUGUGAAAUGUUUCUCUAUUUUUGUAAUUUGUAACUUUGUGAUGGAUGGCGUUGAACUAAUACAUAGUUUUAGUUUUAUGAAUUAGCAUUGCCCAAUUAAAAUGGAUGUCGGAAAAAGUUCUUGGAAAGUUGGCUCAAAAAGUGAGAAAUGUUAUGUUAUCGGAGGUUUUUGAACUGAGAAAUUUAACUAGUCACUUAUGUUACUUGUUUUAUCUGGCCUCAAAUGUUAUAACUGGAAUAAACUGGUAUGUUUCUGACAUACUCGUAUUUCAGGCCGAAAUCAGACAAUUGACAUAUAUUAGGAAAUCAACACAUACCAGUUGCUUUUAUCACAAAAGAAGAGUCGGCUGACUAGUUUUGCUUGUGUACCACAAUAGUUGUUAACUAGUUCGUAACUAAUUUAUUUCACUGCUGGGAGUACUCAGUGAAACUAGACAGACAAAUAUUUGUUAAUCAUGAUACAAGGGCUAUUUGAGAGAAAUCUCUCCUGCUUGCCAAAACGUGCCGACUUUUCCGCAUUUUCCGAAAGAUUAAAAGUUCAAUGUAGUCAUGAAUCAUGUUGUUAAAAUUGUGUGUGAGAAACUUUUAUUUCAUUAAACUAUUCAAUAAAACAUAUUAAUAUUAUUGUUGUAAUGUA